rnacentral:rRNA from 1 species
AUUGAAUGCUGGCGGCAGGCCUAACACAUGCAAGUCGAACGAGUGGCGGACGGGUGAGUAAUGUCUGGGAAACUGCCCGAUGGAGGGGGAUAACUACUGGAAACGGUAGCUAAUACCGCAUACCAUCGGAUGUGCCCAGAUGGGAUUAGCUUGUGGGGGAGGUAACGGCUCACCUAGGCGACGAUCCCUAGCUGGUCUGAGAGGAUGACCAGCCACAAUUGAACGGAGAGACGGUCCAGACUCCUACGGGAGGAAGCAGUGGGGAAUAUUGCACAAUGGGCGCAAGCCUGAUGCAGCCAUGCCGCGGGGAUGAAGAAGGCCUGCGGGUUGUAAAGUACUUGCAGCGGGGAGGCGUUACCCGCAGAAGAAGCACCGGCUAACGCCGUGCCAGCCGCCGCGGGAAGAC